rnacentral:lncRNA from 1 species
AGACACGUCGACCUUUGGAACUUAACCAACACAAAUAUUCGCAUCAACUCUGCCUAUUAAAUGGUAAAUUAACAUGAUUUUAUUUAUACACAGUUUAGCUGUAUAACCUAGUUACAUUUCAGAUAGGUUCAUAGUCUAGCCAAUCAAACCUUUGUGUUUUUCAUAUCUUUUUUUUUUUUUAUCAAAUCAUGCAUGUGUUAUGACAUGAAAUAGUAUGACCACAUAGAAAAUAAGCGGGGUAUGUUUUACUCUGUCUGGCUUGAUAAUUGGGAAGUACUGCAUUGUGCGAUGGUUUCCACGUUGACGAGUUUCCUUUACAUAAUUACAUGAGAUCAUCAGAUCAGUAUCCCACAUCAUACACACUUAUUCCGCAACCUCCCUGAAUCAGCAUCACUACAAGUCUACAAGUACAACUCGUGAAAUUCCUUGUGGUCGUUAAUAGUUAUAGAAAAGAUGAAAAACUCCAGUUACAAAAAAAAAAAAAAAAGAUGAAAAACUCUAAAGUUUGAUAUAUUUAGUGCGAUUAACAUCAUGUGCAGUCCAAAUUUUAUGCAAAAAAAAAAAAAAACAGCAUGUGCAGUGGAAUAUGCGUUACCGGUAGAUUUCUGCAUCUUAAUGAAAUGUCUAUUAAAAAAAACACAAGUAAAUUAUUUCGUUGUCCAAUUAUCAAAACAGUCAAAGAAAAGUGUUAAUAAUAAGAUUCGUCCUUUUCUGUGUUGUGUUGACAUGUCAUGCGUGUCCCAUUAAAAACCUGAAUCCCACUUAACAAAGCUGAUAAAGCUCCCAAAGAUCGUGCAGUCCAAUAAUCUAGGUCUAGUAAUAAUAAUUUAAUACUAGUUACAUCUUACGUACACGACAUUCGAGAAAUCUUUGUUGAGAACUUUAAGUACUUCUCUAGAGAUAAACGAUCGACAUUAACCUUUUCUUUGAGAAUUAACGACAUUACACCCGCAUAUUUUUGAAUUUGAAUUAUAAUUUUAAAUAAGUUAAGAUGGUAGUAUUAGAACUGAAAAUUCUAUAGAAAACUGCAUUAUAUAUUUGAAAAUUACAUUCUAGUAUAAAAUGAAUUUUUUUAAACGACAGCUAAUAUAUGUUAGCUCCAGGAAAGGAGCUGGUUCAAUGCAAAAACAGAGCAUGUGUUACAUGACUCACUUGGUAUGUGAGAUACCGG